GAAAGCCUGUUGAAACCUGUCAACAUCGCCUGAAUGCAACUCAAACACUUUAAUUAAGCUAAGACUUU
rnacentral:tRNA from 1 species